GCUGAAGGAACACCUGUGCAGCCCCCGAGAAAGCCGGCCGGCGGUGUGCCGCUCCCCUGAGGAAGUGGGGAAUGUGGCCAGGGGGAACUGCCCUUCCACGGAGGUGGAAGGGAUAGUAGCCAACCCGGGAAGAACCAGCAACAAACCCGGGGAGGGCCGAGCAGACAGAAAGAACAGCGCAGGGUCUUGUGUCGUUCCUCCACGAAGAGGGGGAGCGACAGUACACAAACCUCCUCGGCAAAGGAAUCUCCCCAAUUAACUCUAUUUAAAUUUAUUGGUAAAUGACAUGAAAAUCAUGGAUUGCUUCCAAAAGAUCAAGUCCCUUGAUGAUUGUAGUGUAAUUAUAUAAGCUGGGCAUCUUUCUCAAGAUGUUAAACUAUGUGCCAGGCACUGUGUAGUUACUUUACACAGUACAUCUCUUUAUUCUUUUAAGUUCCAUUCUUAGAAGGACCCCAGGAGAUGCUAAUAUACCCAUUUUACAGAUGAGGAAAUUGAGGCACAGAGCAAUCGAGGCCAUGGAAUUCUUAAGUGAUGAACAGAGAAUACCUCCUUAGAUCUGAUUCCAAAUGCCACCCUUAUAAUUGAUGGUGCCAUCAUGGAAGCCGGGUGAGGAAAAUGGGCCAUGUAACAAGCACAUGACACUUUGAUUUGUGGAGCUGAGUAGUAAUGUUCCUGGAGUCACGUGUGUAUGAAGUCCCAACUGAUGUUAAAACAAGGGCAAGCAAGAGAGGAGGAAGUGGUGGGUGGCAGUGAAGGCCUGGGGCUAGAGGAGAGCUUCGGGUGGUUACGGACCUGUCUCCAGCGAACAAUAGGUUUCCGGGAGAGACAGCAAGUUCAGAGAGGUAAAGCGGCUUGCCCAAGGUCACACCGUGACAGUAGCAGAGACAACAGCAGCCGAUUGUUUAGUGCCCACUUGGCACCAGGCAUAAUGUGGCUUUUCCUCCCCACAGCGGCAGGUUAAAGGGGGUAUUAUCAUCUUCCCUGUCCCUGAUGAGGCCAUGGAAGCGCAGACGAGAGUCGCUGAGAAGCCCUCCCGAGGUGGCACAGCCGCGCCCUCCGGACUGCACGCCCACGCGGUUUCCGCGCUGUCCAUGGAGCGGGUGGGCGGUAAGGGUGGCACCGAGCCCGUGUGAUUCAGUGUUGUUUUUCCCCGGCAGCACUUCCUGAGGGCCAGGAAGCUGGGGUCACGUGGUCCUUUGGAUCCCCCCAGCUCCCCAAGAAAGGGCAGCAAAGCUCUAUGCAAACAGAUAACAGGUGCACCAUGGGAGGUAUUGACGAGGCCCAGCACUCACUGGCACAACAGAGCAGGGAGUCGCCCCAAGGAUGAGCUGCCUGGCACCUGCGCAACAUCGUGGAGAAAGAGAGGCUGGAGAGCCAGGCCUGCUGGCUGGGUGGCCUGGACAAGACACAGGAGCCCUCUGAGCUUCAAGCCCUUUAUCCAUACACUGGAGAAAACAACGUGCUUCCCAGAAUUGUAGCAAAGACAAAAUGAAGUGAAGGGAGACUUAGGGAUGUCUUUUCCUCCCCACCACCGACGCAUUACCAGCCCCAUCAAUUCUACCUCCUACGCAUCUCAAAUGCCUCUGUGUCUUUCUACACCAUCAUCGCCUCGGUCUGUCUCCGUGACGAAAGCACGCACCGUCCAGCUGGUCGGGUUUUGCUUUAGUUCCUUCCACACAGCGGUCUCACAGGUCCAAUGGUGCCCACCCUUACAUCUUUGGGUUAGGAUAACCCGACGUGCCAGCCUUUGUUCUCUGGCCCCGGUCUCUCGAGAAUCACCCCGUGCCACUCUGCCCUUGCUCUCUCUGCCCCAGCCAAGCGGUGACUCCUCUUGAGCAAGCUGCAGCCAUGCUUCUAAGUGCCCGAAAUUGCCACAUUUGUAGACUCAGAGAGCAGAUGCUGGGCUGCAGGCCAGGGGGAUGGGAGGCGUUGUCAGUGGGUGCAAAGGUUCAGUCGCGCAAGAGAUCCGCUGGGCCAAAAUGAGCCCAGAGUUGCCAGGGUACAGCUUAGGCCAAUGCGCCUCCUAGGUUAAAUGCUCUUAGCACAAUUACAAAGACAAGGGACUGGCAUCGUGGUGCAGCAGGUUAAGCCGCUGCUCGGGAUGCUGGUAUCCCAUGGCCGAGCGUUGGUUUGAGUCCUGGCUCCUCAGCUUCCCAUCCAGCUCCCUGCUGACGUGCUUGGGAAGGCAGUAGAAGACGGCCCACGGACUCGAGCCCCUGCCACCAGUGUGGGAGACCUGGCUGGAGUUCCUGCCUGGUCCAGCCUUGGUUUUUAUAGCUGUUUGGGGGAGUGAACCAAUAGAUGGAAGAUUCUCUCCCUCCCUCUCUCUCUCUGACUUUGCCUUUUGAAUAAAUAAAUUUUAAAAAUAAAACAGGGAGGCGCUGGCAAUGUGGCUAAUAGGUUAAGCUUCUGCCUGUGGCGCCAGCAUCCCAUGUAGGUGCUGCUCCGAGUCCCAGCUGCUCCACUUCCGAUCCAGUUCCCUGCUAAUGCGCCUGGGAAAGCAGCGGAAGAUGGCCCAAGUGUUUGGGCCCCUGCAACCAUGCACGAUACCCAGAGGAAGCUCCUGGCUCUUGGCUUCCAAUUGGCCCGGCUCUGGUCACUGCAGCCAUUUGGGGAGCGAACCAGCGGAUGGAAGAUCUUCCCCCUCUCUUUCUGUCUCUCCAUCUCUCUGUAUCUCUGACUUUCAAGUAGUAAAUAAAUAAUUCUUUAAAAAAUAAAACAAAGCAGGGAGCUGGGUGUUGGUAUUCCAGGAUCUGACCAUUGCUUCCACCAGUCCAGCUCCAUGCUGUCUUCCUCCCUUAAUUCCGAGUUCCCCUCGCUGGGCCUGCUCGCAGCCUCUCCUCAUCCGUCUGCAGUCUCAGUCGUGCCUGCUCCGUGAAGCUGCUCCCCUAAGGUUGCCAAAGGCCAGCCUGUUGAUGAGCUACGUGGCUGCGUCUCACCCCAGGUUGUCCUCCCUGCACGGCAGGACACUUGCCUUUUCCUGCUCCUCGUGGUGGCCACGAUGAUACCCAGCUGUCUGGCUGGUCUGCCUCUCCGAGUGCCCCUGCCCAGCCUUCUUUGUGGCUGGCUCUUUCUCCUCCCCCCUCGACCCCAGUGGACACACGCCCCUGUGUGAGCCACCUGAUCCGAAGCUGAGUGACCGUCUCUGCUCGGCCGCUUCCCCCGCCCGUGUCUAUCACCCAGGCCUAGAUCCUGGGUCCCUGGCGUCCUUGGCCCUCCUGUCCUCACUCAGCACAUCAGCUGAUCCCCAGCUCCUGUGGGGUCUACCUCCAGCCCCACACGGUCUUUCCACAGCUGUUACUACCUUAGUUCAAGUCAACUUCCUUCCUUCCUCCCGGGGGGUCCUGGUAACACCCUUUCCUGUGAAUUUCUGCUUCAGUGGAAAUGAGAUCAGCUCAUUCCUCCACAUAUCUGCGUAGAAUGUUGUAGGCUUCCCAUCCAAGGCAGGAGAUGUGUGAAUGCGAGCACGCUGGCCUCAUUCCUCCUUGGGUCUCUGCCUAUGUUUCUGGCUCCAACUUCUAUAUCCCCUGCCCCAGUCAGUGCUAAGCUCCCCCGACCUACUUGGAUUCUCUUAUUUCUUUUUUUUAAGUGAAAGAGUUUAUUGGGGAAACCCAGCAGGCUGGAGGGAAGGGGCGAAGAAGGAGAAAGAGGGAGAAGGAGAGCAUAAGAGAGAGACAGGAAAGGAGCUAGCGAGGAGAGAAAAGACGAGAGAAGAGAGAAGCCAAGAUACUGAUUCUCUUAUUUCAUUGUGAUCUUUGGCCUCAAGAUCUUCUCUUAAAAAAAAAAACACUAUGUUUUAUUUAUAUUUAUUUGAACGGCAGAGAGACAGAGAAAUCUUUCAUCCACUGGUUCAUUCCCUAAGUGCCCAUUACAGCUGGGGCUGGGCCAGGUCAAAGUGAGAAGACAGGAACUCCAGCCAGGGCUUGUGCAGUUGGCAGGAACCACUGCUUGAACCACCAUCUGCUGCCUCGCAGGGUGUGCAUUAGAAAGAAGCUGGGACCAGCAGUGGAGCUGGGACUUGAACUUGGGCACUGUGGUAUAGGAUGUGGUACCCCAAGCUAUUCUGAUUAAACCAUGUUUUCUUGGUUCUUUCAGUCCAUUUAACUAUUCUUUCUUCAGGACUUUCCUUGAGGGUCACUUCCUCCAGGAAGUUCACUGUGAUUGCGUAAGGCCUGAUUAGGUGCCACCCCUACCUCGAUCCCACUCGUUCCCAGCGCACCUCGCACUCUCUGUCCUUUUACUUGCAUCUCUUCCUGCCCUGGGUUCUCCUCCUGGUUUACAGUGUGGUGCCUGGCACAGAUUAGGCAUGAUUAACACACCGUUUUUCUUUUUCCAUUUUGGAAUAAUAUUUAUUAAAUGAAAAACUGCAUGAUUUCCUAAAGCUUUGUCACAGUCAGGCCUAGUGAUUAAUGGCAAUGAAGCCAGACUGCCUCAGUUCAAGUCCUGGCUGCAACACUCUGUGUAACCUCAGGUAAGUUAACUUCUUCCUGGUUUGCUUUUGUUAUUUUUUAAAUGGUUUUUGCAUCGUGGAUUGCUUUGAGGAUUACUUUGGUUAAUGUUUAUGUGCCUGGCAUACAGUAAGUGCCAAACAAAUAGGCUGACUUACUUGGCUGUAUGACUAAACGUGGGUGCUUUUGAGAGUUAGAGGGAUGCUCUUAGUAAUGAUACCAGGACAGCAGGUGUAGCACAGGACCGUCCUGAGCAAAGAGGGACAACAUGGCACCCUGUGUACAAGGGCCCAUUGGGGAAAGACAUGUCUUCCUCUUUGCUGGUUUGGUUAUUCCCUGCCCACCUUCUUCUGGUGAUUGGCAGUCAGCUCUUCCAACCAGAAAAGCCUGUGUGUUUGUUAUAAAGGAAGAACCGGGGAGACAGUGUCCCAGGGCUCAGAGUUGGGAGAGCAGCAGCAUUAGAGAGACAGCAAUGAAGGUGAAUUCUUGGGCUGUGGCCACAGGGGAAAGGGGAGCCUCUCUGCACCCCACCGAAGCUGAGUCACCUGUGGGCUCCACCAUGGAAGACCGUGUAGCUUCCUGAUGGGUGGUCUGAUUUCAAGAGCCUUUCUCAGAGCCCCUGCCAGAAGGCCUUGUGUGCGAGCCAGGCUGUGCGGAGCCUACUUGACAUGCACUUGCUGUCUGCUCACUGUGUCUGCUGCUUUCUCUCAAACCGUUUCGGAAACAUGUGGUUCCAUUUGCUUCCCCAACAGGGAGUGUUUUUUCAUUACCUUAAAACAGUUGUCUUUGUGGGCUGGGAGGACACCUGGCGGGCAGCAGGUCCACGGCGUGGUCAUUUCCCUUUGAAUUCCAUUAUUUCUCCUGCUUACCUGGGGAGGGGAAAAUACACUUUCUAAAACACAGCGUUCCUUUUUUCUGGUUUCCCAGACAGAUGCACGGUCAGAUAACAGCACCUCAGCAGUGCGCCACAUGUGCCCAGAAUACCAAUCGCAGGCCGUCUGGUGGUGACCCUGAUGUAGGAGGCGAGGGCAUGGGGACAGCCAUGUUCCUUUUCUUGAAAUACCGAAGCCUGUCAAUCUGAGAAGGUGCUAUCCAGAGGUGUGAAGCAGCCCCAUUCUCAACCCCCCUCCCUCUGGGGUGAGAGCAGAGGUGGGGGGGGGGAAGGAGCCCCAGAACCCUGAACUCACAUCUUGUGACACUUCCUGUGCCAGGCAGUGGCCUCACCUGGUGACAAUGCAUGACAACUUUAGAAUACAAGUGUCUGUGUCUGCUUCGGAGAUAAGGAAGGCAGAGUUCCAAGACUAAGGAAUCUCCUAAAGUUGUAUCAAUGGUAGCCAAGAAUUUGAGUUCAUUUCUGUCAUCUAGUCUCUGUGCCUUUCGUGUUGAGUGUCUGGGGUGAGAAUCUGCUGAGAGUUACACGGUCAGCCUACAGGGAGAUGGUAUCUCUCUGGGCUCCCUAAGGGAGGGAGAGGCUGCCCUACACAAUUUCCACAACACAGGCUGACCACGUGCUUCAACUACUAGAGGGCGGGGAGGGCAUUUGGCUUAGCGGUGGAGCCGCUGGUGGAGUGCCUGGGCUCUGGCUCUGGCUCCACCCCCGGUUCCUGCCUCCUGCUGAGGAACACCCUGGAAGGCAGUGGCUGAUGGCUCAGGUGGUUGGGCUCCUGCCACCCAUGUGGGUUCUUGGCUUCUGGCUUCUGCCUGGCUCAGCCCUGGCUGCUUUGGGCAUUUGGGGUAUGAACACUGGGGAAGGCUGUUAAUAAUGCCAUAUUUGAUUCAUUCAACAGAUAGUAUCUAAAGUGCUGACUCUGUGCCAGGCAUAGUGUGUCAAGUAUAGGAGGAAUACAGUAGAAGAGGCAGGCUUGUGGUUAUGGGAGGUAGCCGGUCUCAGUUGUGAGCGUGUUGAGCUUGAGGUAUAGAUUUUCCAUUAGGAUUUGGUACAGCUGUGUGGAGCUCUGGGGAGGAGGCUAAGCGAGUCCUAGGGAUUUGGGAAUGACCCUCAAACAGGUGGCAGCCAUGCCAUUGGCGGGAAGUAAUUAGGUUAUGCGGCAGAGAAGAGCACUGGGGAUAGGAGAUCCGGUGACCCCUGGGGUUUGAAAAGAGGACGUGAAGGGCUCACAGAGAAGACAAAGCAUGGUCCAGAGAUGAAGGAAAAUUGGGAGAGAGGGAAGAAUUUAGGGCGGUCUUUUUUCUGCUUCCUUUUUAAAACUUUUUAAAUUGUAAUUAGUUUUUAGCCGUUUCAAUGUGACUUGUAGAUAGAAUUCUCGGAACACAGUGAUAUUUCCUUCCCCCUCUCCCUCCCAUCCUCUGUCCUUCUCCCUUUCUUUCCUACUUCCUUUUUUAUUUUUUAAAAAUUUAUUUAUUUAUUUGAAAGAAUUACACACAGAGAGAAGGAGAGGCGUGCAGUGGGGUGGGGUGUAUGUCUUCCAUCUGCUGGUUCACUUCCCAGUUGGCCGCAACAGCUGGAGCUGUGCUGAUCCGAAGCCAGGAGCCAGGAGCCUCUUCAGGGUCACCUAUGCAGGUGCAGGGGCCCAAGGACUUGGGCCAUCUUCUACUGCUUUCCCAGGCCAUAGCAGAGAGCUGGAUUGGAAGUGGAGCAGCUGGGUCUCGAACCAGUGCCCAUUGGGAAUGCCGGCACUGCAGGUGGCGGUUUUACCCGCUACAUCACAGCGCUGACCCCUCCUGCUUCCUUUUAAAAACUCAGUCUUACUGCAGUGCAAUUUACAUGCAACACGUACAAUGUGUGCACCCAUUCUGAGCACACAGCUCGCAGCCAGAAGGCAGCUCCUGUGCAGUUUUGACAAAUGUCUACACCUUGUAGUCUUCACUGCAGUCAAGAUGGAGACCAUUGCCAUCCCAGCAAGAGUUCCUCUGUGCCCUCCCUGCUCUUUCCCCGACACUACACGCUAGGCAACCACCCAUCUGCUUUCUGUCACCUUAGAUUCAUUUUGCCUGUCCCAGCAUUUCUUAGCAAAGGAAUCACUCGAGGUUUACUCUGCUGCCCUAUCACACAGGGCAGUCACUUGUUUCUUUUCCUUACAAGUGUUUACCAAUUAAGAGUUACUUAUUUGGAACACAGGCAACCCCGGGUAGUGUCUUACCUGCUGCACCAAACAACCACUCCUGCUGUUUAUUUCUGUGUAGAAUUUCACUAUCUGGACAUACCACAAUCUGCUCAUCUACUGAUGAGCAUUUUGGUUCUUUCUUUUUUUUUUUUUUAAAGAUUUAUUUUUUUUGAAAGAGUAAGACAGGAAGAGAGAGAAAGGAGGGAAGAAUCUUCCAUCCACUGGUUCACUCCCUAAAAGGCCAGGGCUGGGCCAGGCCGAAGCCAGGAGCCUGGAACUCUGCCCAGGUCUCCCACAUGGGUGCAAUGGCCCAAGUUCUGAUUUCUCAGGCUCAUUGGCAGAGAAUAAGGUUGGAAGUGGAGCAGCAGGGACUAGAACCGGCACUUAUAUGGAAUGCCGGUGUCGCAGGUGGUGGCUUUACCCACUAAGCCACAGUGCUGGCCCCAGGUUGUUUCUUCUUUAGGGCCAUUAUGAAUGAAGCUGUCAUGAACAUUUGUGCACAAUUCUUUAAUGUAUAUUUUUCAUAUAUAGGUGUGUCUUUCCUAUUCAUUGAAUACCUAGGAGUGACAUUGCUUGCUCACAUAUUAAAUGUAUAUUUCACGUUACAAGAAAUUGCCAGUUUUCUAAUGUGGUUGUGUUGUUUUACACUCUUAUCAGUAAUAUGUGAGAUUCCCGGAUGUUCUAUUUCUCACUGAACUUCCGUUAUCAUUAUUUGAAAUGUAAAACCAUUCUAGUAGGUGUGUAGUGGGACCUUACUUUGGCUGUAAUUUGCGUUCACCUGAUGACUAAUGAUGAGCGCCUGUCACAUGCCUAUUGGUUGUUCCUUGGGUCCAUUUCCGAUCCAUUUUGUUCUUUAUAUUUGACUAUUCUUACCCUGAUAUCAUAUUGUAUUGAUUAUUCUACUCUUAAUAAGCCUUGAAGUCAAGUUAUAGAAAGGCGCCAACUGUGUCACUCUAUUUUAAAAAGUGUUUCAUCUAUUUUAGGUCCUUUGAACUUCCAUAUAAAUUUUAAAAGUGAAGCAAAGCUUGCUGGUGUUUUCUUUUUUCUUUUUGGAAUUAUGUUGAAUCUAUCAGUCAUUUUGGGAAGUGUUGACACUUUAGAAGUAUUGUGUAUUCCAAUUUAGAAACAGAAUUAUCUCUAAAUUUAAGUAUUCUUUUAUUUUUAAACUCAUGUUAUAUUUCCUUUUUCAAAAUAGGACUUAACUUUAUUACUUAUUUUUAAUUUUUAAAUUUAUUUUAAAGAUGUAUUUAUUUGAAAGGCAGAAUUGCAGAGAGGCAGAGUCAGAGAUAAAGAGAGAGAGAGAGAGAGAGAGAGAGAGAGUCUUCUAUCUGCUGCAGAUGGUCGCAUCGGCCAGAGCUGCGCUGAUCCAAAGCCAGGAGCCAGGAGCCAGGAGCCAGGAGCCAGGAGCCAGGAGCCAGGAGCCUGGAGCUUCCUCUGGGUCUUCCAUGAGGGUGCAGGGGCCCAAGGACUUGGGCCAUCUUCUACUGCUUUCCCAGGCCAUAGCAGAGAGCUGGAUCGGAAGUGGAACAGCCUGGACUCGAACUGGCACCUAUAUCAGAUGCUGGCACUGUAGGUGGCGGCUUUACCUGCUACACCACAGCAACUGCCCUAAAACACUGAUUUUUUUUUUCUAUAUUCAGUGUGAUUCCUGCAACCUUUCUAAAUUCACUUACUAGUUUUCAUAUUUUUGUGGUAGAUUCCUUUGGUGUUUCUAUUAGCUCAAUAACAUUAUCUGGAAAGCACAAUUUUCCCUCUUCCUUUGCAAUGUAUAAUCUCCCUUCCUCCUCCCCAACCCCAUGCCUUGCUAGAACCUCUACACAAUGCUGGAGAGACGUGAAAAGAGACCGUCUGGCCUUCUUCUUCAUCUUGGAGGGAAAGCAUUUGGCCUUUGGCCGCUGAACACGAUGGGUGUGAGCACGAGGCUUGGGCAGAUGUCUUGCUUAGGAUCCAGAUGUUCUUGCUUAUUCUCCUUUGUUGGCAGCCUUACCAUAACGGGCGUUGAGUUUGAUUGCAUGCUUUCUCUGCCCCUCUUGAGAUGAUCAUAUGAUUUUUCUCCUGCCUUUUCUUCAGGGUGGUAAAUUCCAGUGAUUGAUGAUCAUGGGAGCAGUCUCAUGCUUCACUUGACUAUGAUCCUUUUUAUGUGCUGAUUACUACAGUCACUCAUAUUUUAUUAGGGAUUCUCCGGCAAGCUUUGUGAGAGGUAUUGGCCCUGUCUUAUUGUCUUGUAGGGUCCUGGCAGGUGUUGAUAGUAAGGUACUACUGGUAACAAGACAAGCUGGGAAGAAUUCCUUCUUUCUCUAUUUUCUAAACGAACUGGAGCACUGGCUCCUUCCGUGAUAGGUGGAGUUCAUCGGGGAAGCAACUUGGCCUGGAAUUUUCCUUGUGGAACCUUUCUGAGUUAAAAAUUUCAAUUUCUUUCGUAGCUAAAGGGCUAUCCAGAUUUUUCUAUUUCUCUUAUGUCAGCUUUGCUAACUCAUCUUUCAAGGAAUUUAUACACUUCAUAUCUGUUAAAAAUCUAUAGAAUCUGCAGUGGUUCCCUCUCUUGUUCUGAUCCCAACAAUUGGUGCUUCUUUGGUUGUUAAUUUAUUUAGCUUGAGCUCAGCUGGCUUUUGUCUCACUGCCAAAUCCUGCAAGCUCAAUGACUUACAGCAGCAAACGUUUAUUUCACAUUUAUGGCUUUGUGGGUUGGCUCUGGCAGCUCGGCUCUAGCCUGUGGGUCACGUUCAAGUGUGAUUGUGUCUCUUUCUCUGGGACUCUGCUGAUGGAGAAGCUAGUACCUGUAGCAUUUGCUUCACAUGGCUGGGGGGCUGUGCAAACAAACUCACCGUGUCUCUUGCAGCCUCCUUCUGGAAUUGAUUCUGUUGUUACUUCAGUGUACCGUUUUGCUGGUCACUGCAAGUCCCAGAGCGGGGCCCACAGUCGGUAGGGACAGGGAAGUAAACCCUAUCCACAGUGAACCACGGCAGCACCGGAAGGGAAAGGGAAUUCUGAGCCGAGGGUACGAUCUACCACAAGCAAUGCCGCCCAUCCGAGGAAAGAGCGCGUGGUUGUUCUCUGUGUAAAAUGCUCCUUAGGUUCCAAAUGAAGCAGGCUAAUGAUAAAAACGAUCCUUGGCAUUUCACUGACGGGUUUGAUGACAGCGAUUUCCGUGGGCAGUGGUGGCUGGAGCGGGACUGAAGCAGGAAGAGGGAUGACAGGGAAGUGGAGGAGAGCAAACAAGGAGUGAGGACUGCAUUUUCCAGUGGCGUGGCUUAAAAAGGGAAGGAGAAAGAUGCUGCAUAGCUGGGGGGCAGUGUAGGGCCUGGACGUGUGUGUAUGUGUGCGCACCCGCGUGUGUGUGUGUCUGCAUGUGUGUGCAUGUGUGUGUCUGUGUUUAGUAAUGAUUCCAUGUGUUCAUAGGCUGAAUGAGAGAAGUUGGCAAAGAAAGAGAAAAAGAAGAUAGCAAUUAUGUUAUUUAUCAAUUUAUUGCCUCUUAUCUCCAAAUGUACUAUGCACCGCUUGCUCUGUGGUGGUGGAGUUGAACCCUGUAAACAUUUCUUUGACAGUCAGCACCCUGUUCACCUUUGUCAGUAGGGGGAACUGAAGAGGGUCUUCCUCCUAUUUCCAGCGUGCUCCUCUUAGACUCCUAUGGCUGAGCACCAAUGAGGCCAGUCCAAGCUGGUGACCAGCCACACACAGAGUGACCAGCAGCGCUUGGCCCUCCCUGUGGGCAGCUUUCUCCACCUCCCCAGAGCGUGGCUCCCUAAUGAACAACCUUACAGGCAAGAGACACCCCCUCAGGAUGUGUCUGUCUGUCUUUCUUCCUUCCUUCCUUCCUUCCUUCCUUCCUUCCUUCCUUCCUUCCCUCCC